rnacentral:tRNA from 1 species
ACUAUUAUAGUUUAAAACAAAACAUUAAUUUUGUAAAUUAAAAAUAUUUUUAUAUAAAAUUAAUAAUA